AUGAUGAUGAUGACGACGACGACGACGAUGAUGAUGACGACGAUGAUGAUAAUGACGAUGACAACAAUGAUGAUGACGACGACGAUGAUGAUGAUGAUGAUGACGACGAUGAUGAUGAUGAUGGGGCUUAUCACAAGGGCUCUGUGUGCUCAUAUUGUGAAUUCUGUGAGCACUGUGACAACUGUGAUAAAUGUCUGUGUAAAGAGGGAGACAAGUCUGAACACUGCGACAACUGCAAGAUGUGUAGUUUCUGCCAUGUGUGUCCUGCUUGCCAAACUCUUUGCCAACCCGGGGGUUUCCUUGAUGAAGUGACUGGAUCUAUCUACAAGACUGUAGCUGAUGUCUUUGAUGAUGGCAAUGAUGACAACUAAACCCGGAUAUGUUGCCACCAUGUGGCCAAACUAAUAUGUUUCACCUUCACUUCUGAUGAUUUUCAUUGUUAUUUCUGUCUUUUUCCUUGACAACAUUUAACAUUUGCUCACCAAUGACUGAAUAUAAAUUGUUAAAGGAAUAACUAAAUAUAUUUGUGUACUGUUGUGAACUGACAAGUCGUACUGUACUUUUAAGGAAACUGAAUUAUUUGAAGUCAUAUUUGGGAUAUGUUAAAUAAAAAAGGGGACAUUUUCACUAAUUGAUUUAGGAGUGCUUAUUAGACUGAAUGAAUGAAAUGCCGUUUAAC
rnacentral:lncRNA from 1 species